AUUGAACGCUGGCGGCAUGCUUUACACAUGCAAGUCGAACGGCAGCGCGGGCUUCGGCCUGGCGGCGAGUGGCGAACGGGUGAGUAUUGCAUCGGAACGUGCCCAGUAGUGGGGGAUAGCCCGGCGAAAGCCGGAUUAAUACCGCAUACGACCUGAGGGUGAAAGCGGGGGACCGAAAGGCCUCGCGCUAUUGGAGCGGCCGAUGUCGGAUUAGCUAGUUGGUGGGGUAAAGGCUUACCAGGCGACGAUCCGUAGCUGGUCUGAGAGGACGACCAGCCACACUGGGACUGAGACACGGCCCAGACUCCUACGGGAGGCAGCAGUGGGGAAUUUUGGACAAUGGGGGCAACCCUGAUCCAGCCAUGCCGCGUGCGGGAAGAAGGCCUUCGGGUUGUAAACCGCUUUUGUUCGGGAAGAAAUCCUCUGGGCUAAUACCCCGGGGGGAUGACGGUACCGGAAGAAUAAGCACCGGCUAACUACGUG
rnacentral:rRNA from 1 species